AGUGAACGCUGGCGGCAGGCCUAACACAUGCAAGUCGAACGGCAGCACAGAGGAGCUUGCUCCUUGGGUGGCGAGUGGCGGACGGGUGAGGAUAGCGUCGGAAUCUGCCUAUUUGUGGGGGAUAACGUAGGGAAACUUACGCUAAUACCGCAUACGACCUACGGGUGAAAGCGGAGAACCUUCGGGCUUCGCGCAGAUAG
rnacentral:rRNA from 1 species